rnacentral:misc_RNA from 1 species
GGGACAUAGUUUGCAUCAACUGUUGAUAAAGAUUAGAACUUUGUAGCUAAAUCUUGUGGUCAAGACUUGUUUUUUUGAGUUUUUUUGUCAAUCUUGGAACACCCCCACCUACUAUGUCCUCUAGUUUUUGGCUAUAUUUGGGUUAGUUACCCAAUUUCUUUGUGUUGGUUCAUCCUUUGUGUCUGGGGGUUUGGAGAUUUUAGUUGGGGGUCAAUUCUUGAGAAGUUAUUUGUUAUAAAGUUCUGAUC